UAACUUGAGAGUUUGAUCCUGGCUCAGAACGAACGCUGGCGGCACGCUUAACACAUGCAAGUCGAACGAAAUUAUGGGGCUUGCUCCAUAAUUUAGUGGCGCACGGGUGAGUAACACGUGGAUACCUGCCCAUUGGUGGUGAACAACUCCGGGAAACUGGAGCUAAUACACCGUAAGCUCGAGAGAGGAAAGGCCGUAAGGUCGCCGAUGGAGGGGUCUGCGUCUGAUUAGGUAGUUGGUGAGGUAAUGGCCCACCAAGCCAAUGAUCAGUAGCUGGUCUGAGAGGAUGGUCAGCCACACUGGAACUGAGAUACGGUCCAGACUCCUACGGGAGGCAGCAGUGGGGAAUAUUGGACAAUGGGGGAAACCCUGAUCCAGCGAUGCCGCGUGAGUGAUGAAGGCCUUAGGGUUGUAAAGCUCUUUUGACAGGGACGAUGAUGACGGUACCUGUAGAAUAAGCACCGGCUAACUCUGUGCCAGCAGCCGCGGUAAUACAGAGGGUGCUAGCGUUGUUCGGAAUUACUGGGCGUAAAGGGCGUGUAGGCGGU
rnacentral:rRNA from 1 species